AUACCUGCCAAGACAACAUCUGCCGAGUCAGUCCCUGUCAAUUCAACACUGUCCAAUCCAAUACCUGCCGAUUCAACAUGUGCUCAGUCAACAUCUGAUGAGUCAACAAUUGCACAUUCAACAGCUGCUGAUUCAGAAUGUACUCAGUCAACCACCAAUGCUGAGUAAAUACCUGCCAAUCCAAUAUCUGCUCAGUCAAGAAUCGUGGAUUCAACAGCUGCUGAAUGUAGCAAUGUCUCUACAGUAAGGUGCACUAUGGUGAAUGAGAGUUCAGACCAGGCAAAUUUAGGACUGAGAGACUAGAUUCUUGACAACUAUUUAAUUCACAGAUAUAGUGGGUUUGCUGGUAUCAGCAUCAUGGAAGAAGUUUUGGACACCUUGGUCCUAAUGGUUACUUUUAUGUCAGAUGGUUAAAGUUUUUAUAACCCCAACCCAUCUAUGGGAAUGGAUGACAUUUCUGACACUCUUGUGUUUAGUAGUGCAUGGACGAGUGCCUGGAUGUUGGUCUCGACUUCUGGAGUGGAGCGACCCAGACCUGAGGUCAGACAGUGUCAUGCUGGGCCUAUAGCAAGGACUGACAGUAGUACCUCCAUACAUUGUGCUACCAUUUUGACAUUCUUGGAGUAGGGUCUGGAUCAUUGAGAUGGUUGCCUGAUGUAUGCUGGUACUGCUGAUGGCUUUCUGGUACCUGGGUGUACCCAUUUUCUGGUUUUACUUCUGCUCUACUGGGGUUGUAAACUUUAUACAAUUUUAUAAACAAUGAUGUAUUUAUAGGAUACUUUCGUAAUGAGUACAAUCAAUAAAAUCUUCUCGGGCAAUCAGCCGCGUUAACUGGUUACCGUAGUAAACAGACGUUUCUGAUGUGACUGGAUACCUCGGAAGUCGCCUGUGUAACUACCUACUCGAGACCAGUGCACAUGUCCGGACCCAGGCCCAAGGAGCUAGGGGGCGGAGUCAAACGCUCGGUUUGUCUGGCUCUGCCUUCUACCUGGUGUUUCCCCAGAGCAUGUUUGUCAUCGGAUACCAUGCUCUGCUCAAGGUGAAACCUCCAUCCCUAUUAAAGUUGUCGGGAUGCAGCCGGAUCAGGCUGCAUCCCGACAACUUGGGGACAGAGUUGGUUCCCGAAACGUCGGUUUACUACGGUAACCAGUUAACGCGGCUGAUUGCCCGAUAAGAUUUUAUUGAAUGAUGUAUUUUAUUUGUUUUAUAGAGAAUAUAUCAAUGCAACAAGUU